CCUCCAUUUUAUCCCCUUCCUUUCUUCGCUGUCUCUUUCUCUCCAUCGCUAACCCAUUGUUGUUGUGUUACUUCUACACCCUAUUCCCCUCUGUGUUGCUUCUUCUACCUUUUAUUGGCUUCAGAUAUUCACUAUCGCUCUCUUUUGGGGAUUUCUGUAGCUCCGCCACGGGUAAGUUUCAGGGGAAAUCAUGGCAGGAGAACAACUGAAUGUGCUUAAUGCACUUGACGUGGCCAAAACACAAUGGUACCAUUUCACUGCAAUUGUGAUUGCUGGCAUGGGUUUUUUCACUGAUGCCUAUGAUCUUUUUUGUAUCUCCCUUGUGACCAAAUUGCUAGGCAGAAUUUACUACUACAAGGAAGGUUCUACUUCUCCUGGAUCUUUACCAUCAAAUGUCUCAGCUGCUGUUAAUGGUGUUGCUUUCUGCGGCACCCUUGCAGGCCAGCUUUUCUUUGGCUGGCUUGGUGAUAAAAUGGGCAGAAAACGUGUCUAUGGGAUGACAUUAAUGCUUAUGGUCAUUUCCGCUAUUGCCUCAGGCCUCUCUUUUGGCAAAGCUCCUACUGCUGUCAUGUCCACACUCUGUUUCUUCCGUUUCUGGCUCGGUUUUGGGAUCGGUGGUGACUACCCACUUUCUGCCACAAUCAUGUCUGAAUAUGCUAAUAAAAAGACUCGUGGGGCUUUCAUUGCUGCUGUUUUUGCCAUGCAAGGUUUUGGGAUCUUGGCUGGUGGUAUGGUUGCUAUUAUAGUUUCUGGAGCAUUUAAGGUCAAAUAUCCUGCCCAACCUUAUGAAAAUGAUCCAGUUGGCUCUACUGUACCAGAAGCUGAUUAUGUUUGGAGGAUUAUCUUGAUGUUUGGUGCAAUCCCUGCAGCAGUUACUUAUUACUGGCGCAUGAAGAUGCCUGAAACUGCACGUUACACAGCCCUCGUUGCUAAGAAUGCCAAACAAGCCGCUGCAGAUAUGUCUAAGGUGUUACAUGUUGAUCUUGAAGCAGAGGAGGAGAAGGUAGGGAGGUUAGCUGCAAAGCAAUCCAAUUCGUUUGGCUUGUUCUCUAAGGAAUUCGCCAAGCGCCAUGGUCUUCACUUGUUAGGAACCACCACUACAUGGUUCCUGCUGGAUAUUGCUUUCUACAGCCAAAACCUUUUCCAGAAAGAUAUCUUCACUGCAAUCAAUUGGAUUCCCAAAGCACAAGAAAUGAAUGCAGUUCAUGAGGUUUAUCGGAUUGCAAGGGCUCAAACACUUAUUGCACUGUGCAGUACCGUGCCAGGAUAUUGGUUUACAGUGUUGUUUAUCGACCAUAUGGGAAGAUUUGCCAUUCAAUUGAUGGGUUUCUUCUUCAUGACAGUGUUCAUGUUCGCACUCGCUAUCCCAUACCAUCACUGGACCUUGAAGCCUAACAGAAUUGGUUUUGUAAUAAUGUACUCACUGACCUUCUUCUUUGCCAAUUUUGGACCCAAUGCCACUACAUUUGUUGUCCCAGCAGAGAUUUUCCCAGCAAGGCUAAGAUCAACUUGCCACGGUAUAUCUGCAGCAGCAGGAAAGGCAGGUGCUAUAGUGGGUGCAUUUGGUUUCUUAUAUGCUGCCCAAAGCCAAGAUAAAACCAAGACUGAUGCAGGUUACCCUCCUGGUAUUGGAGUGAAGAACUCUUUAAUUGCUCUUGGUGUUAUCAAUUUCUUUGGAAUGUUGUUUACUCUGUUGGUGCCCGAAUCAAAGGGUAAAUCUCUGGAAGAAUUGACAGGUGAGAAUGAAGAAAAUGUUGAGGAGAUAAAGGGUGCUGCUGCUGCUGCUAGGACAGUUCCGGUGUGACUUUGACCCACUUCACCAAAUGAUCUUUUUAAGUAACAAGCUUUCUGAUACUUAUUGUAUGGGUUUAAUAAGUAUUCUGCUUUUGUGAAAUGCAACCAAUAUGUAGAUAUAUACUGUAUUAUACACUGUAUCUUGAAGGCUUUCUUAGAAUUGCAACGAUACCGUGUGUUCAGAUUUUGAUUAAUUGAUGGCGAUAUGUUAUCUGAAAGGAUUUGAUUAAGCUU
rnacentral:misc_RNA from 1 species